rnacentral:rRNA from 1 species
UACGUAGGGGGCAAGCGUUGUCCGGAUUUAUUGGGCGUAAAGAGCGUGUAGGCGGCCAAGCAGGUCAGCUGUGAAAACUCGAGGCUCAACCUCGAGACGUCGGUUGAAACCGCUUGGCUAGAGUCCGGAAGAGGAGAGUGGAAUUCCUGGUGUAGCGGUGAAAUGCGCAGAUAUCAGGAGGAACACCCGUGGCGAAAGCGGCUCUCUGGGACGGUACUGACGCUGAGACGCGAAAGCGUGGGGAGCAAACAGG